GCGCGUCCGGCCCCUAGCGGAGCUGGAGGCCAACAGCCAGAGCCGACCCCGGGAAUGAGAGAGGCAGGGACACGCGUGAGUUCCGGCGGCCUGCAGCCGGCAAACCCCGUACCGUCCAGUAUCGCCUCAGCAACCUACGUGCCGCCAGGCCGGUUAAUGUCAGUAACAAAUCUACCCUUUGUCCUUCCAAGAUGUUUGCAACACAAAAGACAUUGAGAAGAGAAGCUGUCAAAAGACGUAUGGAAACACCAUGAGAGACUGUCUUCCAACACUGCCAAACUGAAAAGGGAAGAAUAAUAUUUGAGUAUACGCUGCCCAGUACCUCCUGUGAAUACCGAAAUCCAUAAAUGCUCAAGUUCCUUAUGCAAAAUAUGGUAGUGUUUGCACAUAACCUAUGCACAUACUCCAGUAGAUUACUUAUAAUACUUAAUACAAUCUAAAUGCCAUGUAAUCGCUGAUAUACUCUAUUAUUUAGGGAAUACUGAUAAGUAAAAAAAGUCUGUACGUAUUCA